GUGACUGUCAGAGUUUCUAAAAAUAGUAGCCCAUGAAGUGCAAUGCCAUCACUGGUGCUACAUAGUUUUGUUAUACAGUCAAAGAAAACCCACUAGGCCUUAACUGGGAAUGACACUUAAAAAUGUGGUUGUGAACAUGCAGUGACUAUCUUAUCAUUCUUUAAUAUCUUUCCUACUCACAAUUGAAGCACUUGCAGAGUUUAACAAUUCAUCUGCUGUUUGGCCUACAAAAAAAAAUAGUUUAUGAGCCUGUUUUGAUGCAUUUUUGUUGCCAGGUUUUUUGUUUCUAGCACUAAAAGAUUAAAAAAGAAAAAAAGAGAAAAAGGCAUGUUUUGUUGUUACAUUUUCAUUUUUCAUUUAUUUAGCAACAUUAUUUGGAAAUAUGAGUGAAUAGAGCAAGGCUGUUUUUUUGUAUUUGGGAAAAGAAGUUAUAACAAUUUGUUUGAGGGAGAAGAGAUCAAGCAGAAGCAAAAAGAGAUCAGAGAAGGAUAGAGGAAGCAAAUGGCAAGCUCACACGCUAUGUUGAUCUCCGACUAAUGAUGAUCUGAGAUUAUGAAGUGAGGGGAAGGCUGUGGCUGGCAGUGCCUCUUGUUGGUCUCUAGCUGAGGGUGAUAAAUGAAACCUAGACUAUCAUCAUGGCAUUUGUAUGGAAGGCCAUCUAGCUGAAUACCUCCAAGUUACCUAAUAAAUCUAAAUCCUGUUACUGAUAGAUCCAGAAGCUCCAAGGAUGAAUCAUCAUCUUCAAUCUUUGGUUCACAGAAUGGGUUCACCGGUUUUGGUACUGACAAAAGAGUCCCAUGCAAAAGCAGUAAAGAUGACCAACAGGAGAUGAAUGCUGAUUCCGCUCGUUCUUCCUUGAAAGAAGGUCUCUAGUUUCAAGCCUCUGCAAAUGCAAAUUGUAGCUGGGAUCCAGUGAGCAAGAACAAGUCGAGUGAUGAUGAGCUAGAAUGGAGCACACCGCUUACCUAAUUAAGGUUAGCUAUUCCCAAAUUCGUGGGCAUUUUAUCUUGCUGUCAAGGUCAUAAAACCCCCAUUUUAGACAUCUGUUAAGAGCUUCUCAGUUGCAAACAUGCUUUGUCCUCAUAAUCAGGGCAUCAAAAUUUCCCAAGAGGAGUAGGAAAACACUCAAAACACUUUUGCAACCAUUAUAACCAACAAGAAAAUCUCAUCUUCUAGAGGAGCUUGAUCAGAGGAAGUGACACUACCAGCAACUCUCUUCUCUGGAUAAAUCAUUAUGUGUAUGUUUGGUUUCCGGA